GGCUGGAAAUUGUAGGGACACAUGCUGACAGGCCUUUUCCGCCCUGCGGAAAAACCGACUCCUGCAAAAUAACAGGCUACUUCCGGUGCGUAACAACCAUGCUUGUGCGGGGCACGCGCUGAGGCUAAAACCCUCCCUGAGAAACAAUGAGGCUUCUAAAAAUGGUUCCGGGCCCUCUGAGGCCGGGACAGCUCAAAAGGGCUCGGCUUUCCCCUCGCUCCACCUCCCCGCGCUCGAUUCCAGAGCUCAGCGCGGGUGAUUCAAUUAUUAUUGCACUCAAACGUGGAAGAAAAUUGAGGAAUAUAUACUACACCUAGGGGCGCCUGGGUGGCACAGCGGUUAAGCGUCUGCCUUCGGCUCAGGGCGUGAUCCCGGCGUUGUGGGAUCGACCCACGUCAGGCUCCUCUGCUAUGAGCCUGCUUCUUCCUCUCCCACUCCCCCUGCUUGUGUUCCCUCUCUCGCUGGCUGUCUCUCUGUCAAAUAAAUUAAAAAAAAUAUAUAUAUACAUAUAUACUACACCUUAAUGUGGUUAUCUUUAGAAGCUGGGGUUGGGGAGGGGCCCCUGGCUGUCUCAGUCAUUGGAGCAUGUGACUCUUGAUCUUGGGUUCCUGAGUUCAAACCCCAUGCUGGGCGUGGAGCCUACUUAAAAAAAAGAAGUUGGGUUUGGGGAACUUCCACUAUCUAGAUCUGUAAUGAAUUUUCUUAACAGCCAGUGUAUAUGACAUUUAUAAUUAGAAAAAUGUACCACUGUGUACAUAUAUUUAAAUAGGUGUCUGAAAAAGGUAGCAUCAGUGAACAAAAAAAGAACUGAUUCACGAGACAUUUCGUUGACAAAAUUAAAAGGAAUCAAUGAAAUUAUAUGUGGGAAUUCAGGAAGAAGUCAAUGUUAUAUAAUGAUUUAUAGUAACAGAAUGGGGGCGCCUGAGUGGCUCAGUCAUUAAGCGUCUGCCUUCGGCUCAG
rnacentral:lncRNA from 1 species